rnacentral:rRNA from 4 species
GGUUAAGCGACUAAGCGUACACGGUGGAUGCCCUGGCAGUCAGAGGCGAUGAAGGACGUGCUAAUCUGCGAAAAGCGUCGGUAAGGUGAUAUGAACCGUUAUAACCGGCGAUGUCCGAAUGGGGAAACCCAGUGUGAUUCGUCACACUAUCGUUAACUGAAUACAUAGGUUAACGAGGCGAACCGGGGGAACUGAAACAUCUAAGUACCCCGAGGAAAAGAAAUCAACCGAGAUUCCCCCAGUAGCGGCGAGCGAACGGGGAGCAGCCCAGAGUCUGAAUCAGCUUGUGUGUUAGUGGAACGGUCUGGAAAGUCCGACGGUACAGGGUGAUAGUCCCGUACACCAAAAUGCACAGGCUGUGAACUCGAAGAGUAGGGCGGGACACGUGGUAUCCUGUCUGAAUAUGGGGGGACCAUCCUCCAAGGCUAAAUACUCCUGACUGACCGAUAGUGAACCAGUACCGUGAGGGAAAGGCGAAAAGAACCCCGGCGAGGGGAGUGAAAAAGAACCUGAAACCGUGUACGUACAAGCAGUGGGAGCACCUUCGGGUGUGACUGCGUACCUUUUGUAUAAUGGGUCAGCGACUUAUAUUCUGUAGCAAGGUUAACCGUAUAGGGGAGCCGCAGGGAAACCGAGUCUUAACUGGGCGUUAAGUUGCAGGGUAUAGACCCGAAACCCGGUGAUCUAGCCAUGGGCAGGUUGAAGGUUGGGUAACACUAACUGGAGGACCGAACCGACUAAUGUUGAAAAAUUAGCGGAUGACUUGUGGCUGGGGGUGAAAGGCCAAUCAAACCGGGAGAUAGCUGGUUCUCCCCGAAAGCUAUUUAGGUAGCGCCUCGUGAACUCAUCUUCGGGGGUAGAGCACUGUUUCGGCUAGGGGGUCAUCCCGACUUACCAACCCGAUGCAAACUACGAAUACCGAAGAAUGUUAUCACGGGAGACACACGGCGGGUGCUAACGUCCGUCGUGAAGAGGGAAACAACCCAGACCGCCAGCUAAGGUCCCAAAGUCAUGGUUAAGUGGGAAACGAUGUGGGAAGGCACAGACAGCCAGGAUGUUGGCUUAGAAGCAGCCAUCAUUUAAAGAAAGCGUAAUAGCUCACUGGUCGAGUCGGCCUGCGCGGAAGAUGUAACGGGGCUAAACCAUGCACCGAAGCUGCGGCAGCGACACUAUGUGUUGUUGGGUAGGGGAGCGUUCUGUAAGCCUGCGAAGGUGACCUGUGAGGGUUGCUGGAGGUAUCAGAAGUGCGAAUGCUGACAUAAGUAACGAUAAAGCGGGUGAAAAGCCCGCUCGCCGGAAGACCAAGGGUUCCUGUCCAACGUUAAUCGGGGCAGGGUGAGUCGACCCCUAAGGCGAGGCCGAAAGGCGUAGUCGAUGGGAAACAGGUUAAUAUUCCUGUACUUGGUGUUACUGCGAAGGGGGGACGGAGAAGGCUAUGUUAGCCGGGCGACGGUUGUCCCGGUUUAAGCAUGUAGGCUGGUUAUCCAGGCAAAUCCGGAUAAUCAAGGCUGAGGUGUGAUGACGAGGCACUACGGUGCUGAAGUAACAAAUGCCCUGCUUCCAGGAAAAGCCUCUAAGCAUCAGGUAACAUCAAAUCGUACCCCAAACCGACACAGGUGGUCAGGUAGAGAAUACCAAGGCGCUUGAGAGAACUCGGGUGAAGGAACUAGGCAAAAUGGUGCCGUAACUUCGGGAGAAGGCACGCUGGUGUGUAGGUGAAGCCCCUGCGGGUGGAGCUGAGACCAGUCGAAGAUACCAGCUGGCUGCAACUGUUUAUUAAAAACACAGCACUGUGCAAACACGAAAGUGGACGUAUACGGUGUGACGCCUGCCCGGUGCCGGAAGGUUAAUUGAUGGGGUUAUCCGUAAGGAGAAGCUCUUGAUCGAAGCCCCGGUAAACGGCGGCCGUAACUAUAACGGUCCUAAGGUAGCGAAAUUCCUUGUCGGGUAAGUUCCGACCUGCACGAAUGGCGUAAUGAUGGCCAGGCUGUCUCCACCCGAGACUCAGUGAAAUUGAACUCGCUGUGAAGAUGCAGUGUACCCGCGGCAAGACGGAAAGACCCCGUGAACCUUUACUAUAGCUUGACACUGAACAUUGAGCCUUGAUGUGUAGGAUAGGUGGGAGGCUUUGAAGCGUGGACGCCAGUCUGCGUGGAGCCAACCUUGAAAUACCACCCUUUAAUGUUUGAUGUUCUAACGUUGGCCCCUUACCGGGGUUGCGGACAGUGUCUGGUGGGUAGUUUGACUGGGGCGGUCUCCUCCCAAAGCGUAACGGAGGAGCACGAAGGUUAGCUAAUCCUGGUCGGACAUCAGGAGGUUAGUGCAAUGGCAUAAGCUAGCUUGACUGCGAGCGUGACGGCGCGAGCAGGUGCGAAAGCAGGUCAUAGUGAUCCGGUGGUUCUGAAUGGAAGGGCCAUCGCUCAACGGAUAAAAGGUACUCCGGGGAUAACAGGCUGAUACCGCCCAAGAGUUCAUAUCGACGGCGGUGUUUGGCACCUCGAUGUCGGCUCAUCACAUCCUGGGGCUGAAGUAGGUCCCAAGGGUAUGGCUGUUCGCCAUUUAAAGUGGUACGCGAGCUGGGUUUAGAACGUCGUGAGACAGUUCGGUCCCUAUCUGCCGUGGGCGCUGGAGAAUUGAGGGGGGCUGCUCCUAGUACGAGAGGACCGGAGUGGACGCAUCACUGGUGUUCGGGUUGUCAUGCCAAUGGCACUGCCCGGUAGCUAAAUGCGGAAGAGAUAAGUGCUGAAAGCAUCUAAGCACGAAACUUGCCCCGAGAUGAGUUCUCCCUGAGACUUUAAGUCUCCUGAAGGAACGUUGAAGACGACGACGUUGAUAGGCCGGGUGUGUAAGCGCAGCGAUGCGUUGAGCUAACCGGUACUAAUGAACCGUGAGGCUUAACCUU